UACGUAGGGUGCAAGCGUUGUCCGGAAUUAUUGGGCGUAAAGAGCUCGUAGGCGGUCUGUCGCGUCGGAUGUGAAAACCCAGGGCUCAACCCUGGGCCUGCAUUCGAUACAGGCAGACUAGAGGUAUGUAGGGGAGAACGGAAUUCCUGGUGUAGCGGUGAAAUGCGCAGAUAUCAGGAGGAACACCGGUGGCGAAGGCGGUUCUCUGGGCAGUAACUGACGCUGAGGAGCGAAAGCGUGGGGAGCGAACAGG
rnacentral:rRNA from 1 species